UGACGUCAUUGAGUCUCGCCGGACUCUUCCGGGCAUGUGCAUCUCCGUCAAAUCCAAAAUGUAAACAGACAGUCUGCUUUGUGUUGUACUUUUACUAUCAGCCGUCACUUAACCGCUGUCAAAGCUGUAAAAUUCUGAAUAUCUAAAGUACAAAACUUACAAACUCGUCACCCAAAGAUUAAAUGCUAAGGCGCCAUGCUCACGUUAGCCCACUGACAACUUGUGAGCAGCCUGGAGUUGGGGAGGACUCCACAUGACAGCGGUGAAGACAUGGGCUCUGUCCGCUGGGCUUUCCGCUGCGGGUCGUGGACACCCAGCAGGUCCGACUGGCUGUUCGCUGCUCGCUGCGUCCAGCCGGAAGAGAAAGAACGUAUUGGACAGUUUGUGUUCGCCAAGGAUGCUAAGUCAGCUAUGGCUGGCAGGUUGUUGCUCAGGAGGUUCGUGUGUGAGAAGAUGGGCAUCCCCUGGUCAGAGAUCAGACUGGAGCGAUCUCCCAGAGGAAAACCUUACUUGGCUGCACCACUGAAGGUCAGUUCAGAUUCAGGUCCGGCCUGGAGUUUCAACCUCUCCCACCAAGGGGACUACGCUGUGCUGGCUGCAGAACAAGGGAUGCAGGUCGGAGUGGACAUCAUGAAGACUACAAUGCCAGGUAGCAGCUCCGUGCCCGAGUUUUUCCGCAUCAUGACUCGUCAGUUUACAGCGUACGAGUGGAGCGUCAUCCAAUCAGCCGGCUCAGAGCACCAGCAGCUCGCCGCGUUCUGCCGCCACUGGGCCCUAAAAGAGAGCUUCAUCAAAGCCAUCGGCACAGGUCUGGGGUUCGACCUGCAGAGGGUGGAGUUUCACCUGCCGACUGAACCGCUCACACCGCCCCGGGCGCUGCGCCAGACCAAGAUGCAUCUAGAUGAGGAAGAAGAAGAGGACUGGAUAUUCGAGGAGAGCUUGCUGGAUGUGGACCAUCAUGUUGCUGUAGCACUCGGACCAGCAGACAAACUAGGAUCUGCACCUCCCCCUUCAUCUCUUCCUCCUCCCUCCACAUUUACGCUGCUGUCGUUCAGUGAGCUCGUCGCCUCAGCCUCACCUCUGACAGAGGAGGACUCCGCCUACUGGGAGAGCUUCAAGAUGAAGGCCGAAGCUCCGUCGAGACAGAGCGAUGCGCACACCUCCACGUAGCCACCUGUCUCACGCUGACACUCACCUGUCACACACGAACACACAAUCUUUUCAGAAGUGCCAAAAAGGAAGAACUCGCUCACCGACACUGAAGCUGCUUUCCUAUUCAGUGCAACUCCAGUCGAGUCCUGUCAAGUUUAUUUACAAAGCCAAAAACCACGGCUUUGUCUCGGAGGACCUCAGAAUCGAUACAGCAUCUGACACCAUCUAUCUUUAGAUCCUCGGUUCCAGUGAAGAAAAACUCCACAAAAACACGGCUGAUACACACAACACUGUACAAUACAGCCAACGGAUAACCACAGACCUGACCAUGAACACUGUUGACACCCACCUGACAGAGACGCUGCCUAAGAUCUGCUUGGUCGUGGUCUUUCUGCUCCAGAACGUCUUCAUCAACUACGUCUUCUUCUGAGGAGGCCCUCAGAUGCUGCAAUCUGUGACCUUAAAGAGGAACUGCUGCUUUCACUCUGUAACCAGACGGUGGUUAUUUUAAAGACCCAGCUCCUGGCGGCUUUGAGUGAAAAUUUAACAUCCAUCAAAACAGAACUACAGACUGUUAAAUCUGAGCUGUCGGUCAGUAGUUCAAACAUCAGUCCGACCCGGGUGUCCUAAAGCUCGCUGUGGGUGAAACAGAAACUUCAGUCUCCACAUCGCCGACGACAUCGUCUCACUCCACAGCAGAGCACCUGUCUGCUGAACUUAUAAAGUGGACUAUAAAGGUGAAGAAUGUGAGCAGCAGAGGAACAGAUGUGAUCAGAAAGAAGUCAUUUUCUUUUUUCUUUUCUUUCUGCUUGACUUGAUGCUGUCAGAUGCAGAUGUUGGAGCUGAUUCUGAUCUUUCAGGAGAAAAAGCUGCUUUUCCUUCACAGACUUUUCAGGAAAUUAUUCUCUCAGGUUUUCUCUGCUAUUUAUAUUUUUAUUAUCUGUGAUCAUUUCAUUAUUGUAAAAUAAAGUUGGAAGUGUUGCUUUCAGUGAUUUUUUAAUAAAUAGCAAAUAUGAUGAUGUCA